UUUUUGGAAGCCUCGAUACAUAUCGAGGUUCUACCUACAAUCCAUUCUCAAAUAACUUAACCGGACUAACACAAUUAUUUUGCACACAAAAGGAAUUCAAUCUGUACACUUUUAUGAUGCUAAUCAUGUAUCGAACAAAUUAACAUGUCGAGAGUCGACAAAAAGAAACAUGUCUAUAACACAAGUAUAAAUGCUGUUUCAAAAAGAUGUUUUUAAUGCUGUUUCAAAAAGAUGUUUUUUUUUUCUGUCAUCAGAAUAAACAUAUUCUAGAAGACUUUCGAAAUCAAAAUAAACAUAUUCGUGAAAACUAUUUCGAAAAGAUGUAAAUUUUAGAAUUUUUGCACUUACUAAAAAUAUAUUAAGUUUUGAUUAUUGAUACAUCUUUUUGCAAUUAACAAUAUAUAUUUUACCAUUAAAAGAUAUAUUGAAAAUGUAAAAAUAUGUUUUGAAACAUUUUUUUGAAACAUGAAUAUUUUCAGAACGAGGGGAAUAUGUUGUAAGUUUUUGUAUUGUAACUGCAAAUUUAUAUCAAUAACUUUCAAUAAUUAAUUAUAGACCUUUAGAAAAUUCAUUUCUAAAGCUAAUAUAAUUUCUAUUUUAACCUUAGCUCUGUAGUUUUAAAUUAUUUUUUAAAUAAUGAUUGGUAAACUAAAAUAACUAUAAAAAGAAAAGCUAUGAAAAGCACUUGGAAUACUUACGAAUCAUCUCAUGUGAUAUUACGAAGAUCAUAAAGUCGUCCGGAAACAAAUUUGAUUGAUGUGUCAUAUUCACCUCUAAAUGUUGUAUUUAUAUAAUCAUUUAUACGGAUGACAAAGAAAAUCAUUUCUUCAACACUUUUUCAUUUAUACAACACUUACUUUUAUGUUUUACUUAUUAAGACUUUUAAAAAUUGUGGAUUAAAAUGGAAUAUUUAAUAUUUUAUAGUUAAAACUUGUUCCUAAAAUUUUGAUAAAUUCAAAAUGUGUUGUUGACAUAUAUAGAAGACAAUAUGAUUUGGGGAUUACUUUUAUAAUCAUUUUUUCAGUUCUAUUGAUUUUUGUUUUGUUUUUUUUUUUGAUAAAAGAAAAAUGUUAAAUCCGAAUCUAUUAAAGACACAGACCUAACCUCCGGGUAGAAGUUAAAAUAUUCUUUUGUUUUUGUUAGUUCAAUUUCCUUUUUCUAAAUUUAACCAAAGUGGUUUUUUUUUAAAGGAUUUUUUAUCUGUUAGCAAUUAAGUUAUUUAUUUGGUAUACUUUAUUAGUAGUGUCAUCAAUCAUUUGUUAGUAUAAUAAUAUUUUAAUUUUUUAUGAUUUUAUUGGCUGACUUAUUAUGUUUUUUGCCUAUAUAGACACUUUUAGAUAACCUAGUUUGAUCGGACCGGUCUGAAUUGCUCUUACGAUAAAUGGGCUGAAACAUGAACCGGUAUGUUUCUUGUCUGUUAUGCCCGAAACAUGGACCCGUAUGUUUUCUUUAACUUUCAAAUUACUCAUCUGUAUACAUACGCCCCAUGAGUUGACAAAAAAAAAAAAAUACAUACGCCCCAUGAAACUUGCUUGAAUACAAUUCACGUAUAAUGAUGAUUGAGUUACCUCUCAAUUCAUUUGGCCUGCCAUCAAGUGUGAUGAGUGUUUGAGAAAUAGUAACACCUUUAAAAUAUAAGCUACAGAAAAAAAAAAAAAAAAAAAAAAUCGAGUUUAACUGGCUUUAACAAAAUAGAAAAACAAAAUUAAACCGGAGUUGAUCUGAUUGAACCGGAAAUAGCCGCGUGAAAUCCUCAACUCCAAGUUUGAACCGACCGGUCUCGAUCGCUGACUUUGUUGCUACUUAUACCAAUCACAGUAGAAGAUAAGAACGAUCAUCUCUCAUCUCUCCCCCAAAUUUUGAAAAUUUUGAUCAUCUCUUCAUGGAUCUUACUUUCACUCACAGAUUCGUGAAGGUCAACGGAAUCAACAUGCACUUCGCCGAGAAAACUCCCUCCUUCACCGACAACGGCGCUUCACGUCCUCCUCCGGUGAUACUCUUCCUCCACGGAUUUCCCGAGCUCUGGUACACGUGGCGGCACCAGAUGGUUGCUCUCUCGUCGCUAGGCUACCGCACAAUCGCCCCCGACCUGCGCGGAUACGGAGACACGGAGGCGCCGGAGAGCGCGGACGCGUACACGAGUCUCCACGUGGUCGGAGAUCUGAUCGGAUUGGUCGACGCGGUGGUCGGAGAUCGGGAGAAAGUGUUCGUGGUGGGACACGAUUGGGGAGCGAUCAUCGCGUGGCAUCUCUGUCUUCUCAGACCGGACAGGGUUAAGGCUUUGGUCAACAUGAGUGUGGUGUUCGAGCCUUGGAACCUUAAGAGGAAACCGAUCUCAAUGUUUAAAUCGUUUUAUGGAGAUGACUACUAUAUCUGCAGGAGUAUGGAGAAAUAGAGGCGGAGUUCGCUAAGGUAGGCACGGAACGAGUUCUCUUAGAGAUGUUAACGUAUCGUAAUACUGGUCCUAUACUAUUACCUAAAGGGAAAAGCUAUGAUGAUCCUGUUUCAUUGCCCUCUUGGCUAACCGAGUAUGAUGUUAAGUAUUAUGUUUCCAAGUAUGAGAAGAGUGGCUUCACUGGACCUGUAAACUACUACAGAAACAUGGACCGGACAUGGGAGAUGAUGGGGGCAUUCUCAAACGCUCAGGUGAAAGUUCCGGUUAAGUUUAUAAUCGGCGACCAGGAUUUGACGUAUCACAUUCCGGGGACCAAGAAGUACAUCCACGAAGGCCGGUUUAAGAGCCACGUACCGUUGUUAGACGAAGUAGUGGUAAUUAAAGGCGUUGGCCAUUUUCUCCAUGAGGAAAGGCCUGUCGAGAUAAGUAAACACAUCCACGACUACUUCCUCACGUU